rnacentral:rRNA from 1 species
UACAGAGGUCCCAAGCGUUGUUCGGAUUUACUGGGCGUAAAGGGCGCGUAGGCGGCUUUAUAAGUCGGGGGUGAAAGCCUGUGGCUCAACCACAGAAUUGCCUUCGAUACUGUAGAGCUUGAGACCGGAAGAGGUAAGUGGAACUGCGAGUGUAGAGGUGAAAUUCGUAGAUAUUCGCAAGAACACCAGUGGCGAAGGCGGCUUACUGGUCCGGUUCUGACGCUGAGGCGCGAAAGCGUGGGGAGCAAACAGG